rnacentral:misc_RNA from 1 species
UUUCCGUAGGUGAACCUGCGGAAGGAUCAUUAUUGAAUCCUUAGGAUGUUGCUGGCCUCUAGGGGCAUGUGCACUCCGCCUUUUCAAUACACCUGUGAACUCAUUGUAGGCGCAGACGUCACAAAUCUGUUGCCUACGUUUUUUUAAACUCCAAAUGUUUAUUGAAUGUAAUGAUGUUGGCAAAACUUAAUACAACUUUCAACAAUGGAUCUCUUGGUUCUCGCAUCGAUGAAGAACGCAGC